rfam:Pan troglodytes isolate Yerkes chimp pedigree #C0471 (Clint) chromosome 19, whole genome shotgun sequence.
UGUCAGGCUGUGACCCUCUUGAGGGAAGCACUUUCUGUUGUCUGAAAGAAAAGAAAGUGCUUCCUUUUAGAGGCUUACUGUCUGAGA